rnacentral:rRNA from 1 species
CUGGCGGCGUGCCUAAUACAUGCAAGUAGAACGCUGAAGAGAGGAGCUUGCUCUUCUUGGAUGAGUUGCGAACGGGUGAGUAACGCGUAGGUAACCUGCCUUGUAGCGGGGGAUAACUAUUGGAAACGAUAGCUAAUACCGCAUAACAAUGGAUGACACAUGUCAUUUAUUUGAAAGGGGCAAUUGCUCCACUACAAGAUGGACCUGCGUUGUAUUAGCUAGUAGGUGAGGUAACGGCUCACCUAGGCGACGAUACAUAGCCGACCUGAGAGGGUGAUCGGCCACACUGGGACUGAGACACGGCCCAGACUCCUACGGGAGGCAGCAGUAGGGAAUCUUCGGCAAUGGGGGCAACCCUGACCGAGCAACGCCGCGUGAGUGAAGAAGGUUUUCGGAUCGUAAAGCUCUGUUGUAAGUCAAGAACGAGUGUGAGAGUGGAAAGUUCACACUGUGACGGUAGCUUACCAGAAAGGGACGGCUAACUACGUGCCAGCAGCCGCGGUAAUACGUAGGUCCCGAGCGUUGUCCGGAUUUAUUGGGCGUAAAGCGAGCGCAGGCGGUUUGAUAAGUCUGAAGUUAAAGGCUGUGGCUCAACCAUAGUUCGCUUUGGAAACUGUCAAACUUGAGUGCAGAAGGGGAGAGUGGAAUUCCAUGUGUAGCGGUGAAAUGCGUAGAUAUAUGGAGGAACACCGGUGGCGAAAGCGGCUCUCUGGUCUGUAACUGACGCUGAGGCUCGAAAGCGUGGGGAGCGAACAGGAUUAGAUACCCUGGUAGUCCACGCCGUAAACGAUGAGUGCUAGGUGUUGGAUCCUUUCCGGGAUUCAGUGCCGCAGCUAACGCAUUAAGCACUCCGCCUGGGGAGUACGACCGCAAGGUUGAAACUCAAAGGAAUUGACGGGGGCCCGCACAAGCGGUGGAGCAUGUGGUUUAAUUCGAAGCAACGCGAAGAACCUUACCAGGUCUUGACAUCCCGAUGCUAUUUCUAGAGAUAGAAAGUUACUUCGGUACAUCGGUGACAGGUGGUGCAUGGUUGUCGUCAGCUCGUGUCGUGAGAUGUUGGGUUAAGUCCCGCAACGAGCGCAACCCCUAUUGUUAGUUGCCAUCAUUCAGUUGGGCACUCUAGCGAGACUGCCGGUAAUAAACCGGAGGAAGGUGGGGAUGACGUCAAAUCAUCAUGCCCCUUAUGACCUGGGCUACACACGUGCUACAAUGGUUGGUACAACGAGUUGCGAGUCGGUGACGGCAAGCUAAUCUCUUAAAGCCAAUCUCAGUUCGGAUUGUAGGCUGCAACUCGCCUACAUGAAGUCGGAAUCGCUAGUAAUCGCGGAUCAGCACGCCGCGGUGAAUACGUUCCCGGGCCUUGUACACACCGCCCGUCACACCACGAGAGUUUGUAACACCCGAAGUCGGUGAGGUAACCUUUUGGAGCCAGCCGCCUAAGGUGGGAUAGAUA